GAUGAACGCUGGCGGCGUGCCUAAUACAUGCAAGUCGAGCGGUAAGGCCACUUCGGUGGUACACGAGCGGCGGACGGCUGAGUAACACGUAGGAACGUACCCCAAACUGAGGGAUAACUGCUCGAAAGAGUAGCUAAUACCGCAUGUGCUCUUCGGAGUAAAGCUACGGCGGUUUGGGAACGGCCUGCGCAUGAUUAGCUUGUUGGUGAGGUAAUGGCUCACCAAGGCGACGAUCAUUAGCUGGUCUGAGAGGAUGAUCAGCCAGACUGGGACUGAGAACGGCCCAGACUCCUACGGGAGGCAGCAGUAGGGAAUUUUCCACAAUGGGCGAAAGCCUGAUGGAGCAACGCCGCGUGCAGGAUGAAUGCCUUCGGGUUGUAAACUGCUUUUAUCUGUGACGAUUAUGACGGUAGCAGAUGAAUAAGGAUCGGCUAACUCCGUGCCAGCCGCCGCGGUAACAC
rnacentral:rRNA from 1 species